AAAAAGUAUAUAUCUACGGAGUCGGACAGAAACAAUUGUAUGGCUUACGUCUCCACGGGUACGGUCUUGCGUAAAAAUUAUGGAUUCCUUAGCUAUACAAGCUCAUAUACUUUUGCGGCGCGUAUACUCUAAUUUUUUGACAAUAUUGUAUCAUGACAACUACCUUAAAAUAAUUUUUUUUAUACUUCAACAGCCAAAGUUCCAAAAUUGUAUCCACGGAGAAGAGAGAUCAAAAUAAAAGAAAACCAAGAGUUGAAUCUUAAAUGCACUGGCCAUCGAGAAAUCCACUUUUUCAUGAUUUUAAAGGAUUCGGGUGAGGGCUCUAAACGUAUUGAACGGACUCACAUGGUCAAGGGAGGCUUAAUUGAACAUAGCUUACAGAAGAAAUCAGUAGAUCAACGUGACAGUGGAUGGUACGCAUGUGCGUUCGAUAACGUCGAAUUUUACUCCAACAGUAAUCCGCACUCUCAAGAGAACAUCAGCUGGAUCCAUGUUGAAGUUGAACCUUGGAUUUAGAACUAAUUGAGACACUAAACUGAAGAUUAAGAUUGGCAGAAGUAAGACAAAAGAAGUUUCGAAAUGGAUUUGAAUUUUAUUAUACUCAUUAUUUACUACUUAUUAUUGUACAAUUAAACAAUAUUUUCCUUUUAAUUUGA